AUUGAACGCUGGCGGCAUGCCUUACACAUGCAAGUCGAACGGCAGCACGGGAGCAAUCCUGGUGGCGAGUGGCGAACGGGUGAGUAAAGUAUCGGAACGUGCCCAGUCGUGGGGGAUCACGUAGCGAAAGUUACGCUAAUACCGCAUACGAUCUAUGGAUGAAAGCGGGGGAUCGCAAGACCUCGCGCGAUUGGAGCGGCCGAUAUCAGAUUAGGUAGUUGGUGGGGUAAAGGCUCACCAAGCCGACGAUCUGUAGCUGGUCUGAGAGGACGACCAGCCACACUGGGACUGAGACACGGCCCAGACUCCUACGGGAGGCAGCAGUGGGGAACUUUGGACAAUGGGCGAAAGCCUGAUCCAGCCAUGCCGCGUGCAGGAUGAAGGCCUUCGGGUUGUAAACUGCUUUUGUACGGAACGAAAAGGUUUGGCCUAAUAAGCUGAGCUCAUGACGGUACCGUAAGAAUAAGCACCGGCUAACUACGUGCCAGCCGCCGCGGUAU
rnacentral:rRNA from 1 species